CUUAUAUGAUGAUACUCUAUUCAUAUCAGUUCUGCUUAUGAAAAACGGUGAUUAUACCAUCAUCCCACAUUUACUGAUCC
rfam:Anopheles christyi strain ACHKN1017 cont1.6361, whole genome shotgun sequence.